rnacentral:rRNA from 1 species
CAUAAGCGGAGGAAAAGAAACCAACAGGGAUUGCCUUAGUAGCGGCGAGUGAAGCGGCAAAAGCUCAAAUUUGAAAUCUGGCACUUUCAGUGUCCGAGUUGUAAUUUGAAGAAGGUAUCUUUGGGUCUGGCUCUUGUCUAUGUUUCUUGGAACAGAACGUCACAGAGGGUGAGAAUCCCGUGCGAUGAGAUGACCCAGACCUAUGUAAAGUUCCUUCGAAGAGUCGAGUUGUUUGGGAAUGCAGCUCUAAGUGGGUGGUAAAUUCCAUCUAAAGCUAAAUAUUGGCGAGAGACCGAUAGCGAACAAGUACAGUGAUGGAAAGAUGAAAAGAACUUUGAAAAGAGAGUGAAAAAGUACGUGAAAUUGUUGAAAGGGAAGGGCUUGAGAUCAGACUUGGUAUUUUGUAUGUUACUCUUUCGGGGGUGGCCUCUACAGUUUACCGGGCCAGCAUCAGUUUGGGCGGUAGGAGAAUUGCAAAGAAAUGUGGCACUGCUUCGGUAGUGUGUUAUAGUCUUUGUCGAUACUGCCAGCCUAGACUGAGGACUGCGGCUUCGGCCUAGGAUGUUGGCAUAAUGUAUAG